rnacentral:rRNA from 1 species
UUGAAAGGGAAACGAUUGAAGUCAGUCGUACCAGCGGGAAUCAACCUUUCGAGUGGGGNUUUUGGAGUUUUGAAGAGUGUCAAAACCUUUGAGAUUUCAAAAUAUUCGCUCUUUUGGUGUACUUUCUCGUGGGUAGGUUAACACCGAUUUUGAUCAUCAUAAAAAGAUUGGAGGAAUGUAGCUUCGAUCUUGUAUUGAAGUGUUAUAGCCUUUGGUAAAUGUGAUGAUUAGGAUCGAGGAUUGCAACGAAUACCCUUUUGGGCUAUCCGCCUGAUCUCUGAUACGUGGCCUUGGUAUCGAAAGCGUGCUUAUGGUAUUGAGGUAUUACGGUCAAAAGGUUAGAACGGAUUACAUUCGUUAAGGAUGUUGACGUA